rnacentral:rRNA from 1 species
UACGGGGGGGGCAAGCGUUGUUCGGAAUUACUGGGCGUAAAGGGCUCGUAGGCGGCCAACUAAGUCAGACGUGAAAUCCCUCAGCUUAACUGGGGAACUGCGUCUGAUACUGGAUGGCUUGAGAUUGGGAGAGGGAUGCGGAAUUCCAGGUGUAGCGGUGAAAUGCGUAGAUAUCUGGAGGAACACCGGUGGCGAAGGCGGCAUCCUGGACCAAGACUGACGCUGAGGAGCGAAAGCCAGGGGAGCAAACGGG